UACGGAGGGUGCGAGCGUUAUUCGGAAUUACUGGGCGUAAAGCGCGUGUAGGCGGCAGGGCAAGUCUGGUGUGAAAGCCCGGAGCUCAACCCCGGAAGUGCAUUGGAAACUGCUCUGCUUGAGUACCGGAGAGGAAGGGGAAAUUCCCGGUGUAGCGGUGAAAUGCGUAGAUAUCGGGAGGAAUACCAGUGGCGAAGGCGGCCUUCUGGACGGUUACUGACGCUGAGACGCGAAAGCGUGGGGAGCAAACAGG
rnacentral:rRNA from 1 species